AUUUGAAUGUGUGUUGCUCCUUGUGGCAGGUAUACUGUUCCAAUGCCCUGGGAUCUCUGUAGUGGUCGGUACUGUAUUGAUUAUAAAUGGUGAAGUCCUAGUAUCUUGCUAGAGUGAGCUGGCCAGGAUGGUGGAGCUCUACCACCAUUUCACAGGUUAUAGACAGGGGCCACCAGGUUUCAGGAAAGCAGCAAUGACCCCUCAGUAAUAGUUGGAAAGUGUGAUAUGACACUGAGCUUCACUGUGUUGGUGAAGAAGAGGUGAGGAAAAUAAAAGCUGCAGUUUGCCUCCACCUCUGAAGAAGCACAAUACACCUUUCUGGGUUACCAAUGGGAUACUUCCCAACAGCUUUGUCAUCACAUACAAUAUUCUCAAACAAGAUCUUAAUGGCAUCUACUUUCUCCAGGAACACAGCCCCUGACCUGUGUGUGUUUGCGUAGAGAAGGCAUGCUAUGUACCCCCUAGGAUAUAGGCUGACUUUGCAAGAGAGAGUCCGUUUACCACUUAGAACCGUGAACACCACCCCCGCCCUCAUUUAUCUCCAGACUUGAACUAGUGGUUAAAUCCCAACAUGUCCCAGAGAAGUCAAAAGCAUUGUAAAAUCUGGGAAUCUGCCCACCACUCAAGCCUGGGAAAGCUGGCAGAGGAUGCACGUGUUUUACUCACCUGAGUGUUUACAAUGCUCGUGAGGUGCCUCCCUGAUAUUUUUAUAGCAGAAUGGAGAAACACAACCAAGGAGAUACACCUAAGUAACAACAGCAAUGAUGUCAAAAAGAGUGCCUGAAUACUUAGGGUGGAGGUCCUGGACAUGCAAACCCAAGCUUCCUCUUUGCUGUGGCCAGGAAUCUGCAGUGAUUGAGAGCACAGACUGUAUCUAAAAUUCCACCUUUCAAAGUUCAGCAUAUUACUUUUUUUUUUCUUACACCUAUAAGUACAGAGGAAUGAAGAAGGAAUAAACAGACCUUCUGGAUAAUUGCAUCAGCCUUCCCCACUAUUCCAAUGCCAUGCUAACAUUUCAAGUAAUGUCCCUUUUGUCUUGCUGAGAAAAAAUCAUUUCAUGAUUUAUUACACUGGAUUAAAGGCUAUGCACACUCUGGA
rnacentral:lncRNA from 1 species